rnacentral:rRNA from 1 species
AUUGAACGCUGGCGGCAUGCCUUACACAUGCAAGUCGAACGGUAACAGGUUAAGCUGACGAGUGGCGAACGGGUGAGUAAUGUAUCGGAACGUGCCCAGUCGUGGGGGAUAACUGCUCGAAAGAGCAGCUAAUACCGCAUACGACCUGAGGGGGAAAGCGGGGGAUCGCAAGACCUCGCGCGAUUGGAGCGGCCGAUAUCAGAUUAGGUAGUUGGUGGGGUAAAGGCCUACCAAGCCUACGAUCUGUAGCUGGUCUGAGAGGACGACCAGCCACACUGGGACUGAGACACGGCCCAGACUCCUACGGGAGGCAGCAGUGGGGAAUUUUGGACAAUGGACGCAAGUCUGAUCCAGCCAUGCCGCGUGCGGGAAGAAGGCCUUCGGGUUGUAAACCGCUUUUGUCAGGGAAGAAAAGGUUCUGGCUAAUACCUGGGACUCAUGACGGUACCUGAAGAAUAAGCACCGGCUAACUACGUGC